rnacentral:rRNA from 1 species
UACAGAGGUCUCAAGCGUUGUUCGGAUUCAUUGGGCGUAAAGGGUGCGUAGGCGGCGCGGUAAGUCGGGUGUGAAAUCUCGGAGCUUAACUUCGAAACUGCAUUCGAUACUGCCGUGCUUGAGGACUGGAGAGGAGACUGGAAUUUACGGUGUAGCGGUGAAAUGCGUAGAUAUCGUAAGGAAGACCAGUGGCGAAGGCGGGUCUCUGGACAGUUCCUGACGCUGAGGCACGAAGGCCAGGGGAGCAAACGGGG